CCUGGGAACUUGUUAGAAAGGCAGAUUCAUGAGUUCACCCCAGAAUGUCUGAUCAGAAUUCUGGGGGUGGAGUCCAGCAAUCUGCAUUUUAA
ensembl:miRNA